CAUUAUUGUGUUUGGAGCAGAAUAAAAUGGCAGCGGCAAGAUUUACUGAAAUCUUUGCAAAGCGACACAGCUGGCAGGAAACUGUAAUAUAAUGACAGCCCCGAUCUGUGCUCACUUUAUGAAAGAGCUGCCACUUAUAUAUUGUAACAGAGGAAAGGCUAAAAUCCUAACAAAAUCAGAGGAAAAUGAAGGGAUCACUCUUCAGCGUUUUAUUGUUUUGCUUCAUGAACAAGGGUUUGUCGAGCCCGAUCCCUUCUACAAUGGCGUCUACUACCCCACCACUUACCACGACCCCCUUUACAACACAGAUACCCGGUUGUGAGUAUGAUGGUAAAAUCUAUCCCCCUGGAGCAGACAUCCCAGAACUUAGAGGAGAAUGUUACGGCGCUUCUUGUAGUGGGGACUUUGGGUUGUUCUUUAUCAUGCAUUGGGAUACCUUUAAUUGUGGAGUUGAAACAUCGUUGUUGACAACCCUCGGAUAUACUUCCCCCAGCACUACUCCAAUCUUGACCACCCCACCGCCGCCUACAGCUUAAUCUUAGGAUGUUACAACCCCUGAAAGAAGCCUCACCUGACACAACUUAUGAAUAACCGUUUUAUAGAAUAUCUCUAAAAUAUUUCUGAUCCAUGUUUCGUAAAUAUACAUGUAUGUAAAUAUGUGUUGUGAUGUUUCAAUACAAAUGUACCACAUUC